CUGAGGAAAGCUAGGGAUCAUGGGAAAAUUGCUCUGACCAGCGGAAAUGAAGCACACUUUGCUCCUCCGCUGGUCAGAGCUGGUCAAGCGGAGGAAUCCUCCAUAAGGCAAAGAGUCCCUACUUUGUCUUAUGAUUUUAAAGAAAACUAAAGAAGACAGGAAGAAAUGAAUAACAGAUCCUGAGAGAGGGGGAGAAGAGGAAGAGAUUGAGGAAAGGUAAGUUCGGCAUGACAGUGCCGCUUUAAAUAGAAAUUA